ensembl:lncRNA
AACUCUCUCUUCUCCAUUCCUUGGUCAAUGAAUAAAGUUUCUGCUCUGCUAUACCAAACUCCGUUUCCUUUGAUUGGCAUUUACAACUCCAGGCAAAGGACCCAAAUUAAAGGAUCAUUGAUCCAUCAGGGAUUGGUAAAGAGGGUGCUUAGGCCAUUCUGAAACCAACCAAGAAGGAAGCUUGGAGGACAGGACACUUGACUCAGACCUGAGGGUCUCAGUGUUGUGGUCCCUUGGAGCAGCAUAUUUUCUCACGUCAGCUUCUCUCAUCUUCGUCAACUCUGACCCCCAAACCCUCUAACCAAUUCCACUCCAGCUGAAUGUCAGCUGAAUGUUUCUUGGUAAAGUUCCUACCUCAGUUCCUACUUCAGUGAGAAAAAGUUGUAUAAUCCUUCCAUUUCCUUGCUUUUCUCACCUGCCAAAGCAACAGCUUUCUACAGUAGCAUGCAUCCUGGCACCCUGUUAUGGAGGACAAGGUGGAAUGCUGAAGGAAGGUUUCUACUGCCAAGCAGGAGGAUGCCAACCCAGCUGAGUGUGGUCUCCAGUGGAUGAAAUUGGAGAGAGAGAAAAUGGAGUCCUAUUUUAAAGCCAAAAGCCACAGUCCCUACCAUGUUUUAGGACAGUGUUGCUGUGCCCAAGGACUGGGUGGGGCUGGAGGACAUUUGCCUGAGGAGCUUAACUUUCAGCAGCUUCUGCUUCCAGCUAGCUGGUCAAGCGCGAUUUGAAACCUCCUUUCCUGGUGGCUCAGAUGGUAAAGCGUCUGCCUACAAUGUGGGAGACCUGGGUUCAAUCCCUGGGUCGGGAAGAUCCGCUGGAAAAGGAAAUGGCAACCCACUCCGGUACUCUUGCCUGGAAAAUACCUUGGACGGAGAAGCCCGUAGGCUACAGCCUGUGGGGUUGCAAAGAGUCAGACGGGACUUCCCUUUCACUUUCCUUCUUGGACUUCCCUGGUGGCUCAGAGGGUAAAAGCAUCUGCUUACAAUGUGGGAGACCCGGGUUCGGUCCCUGUGUUGGGAAUAUCCCCUGGAGAAGGCAAUGGCACCUCACUCCAGUACUCUUGCCUGGAAAAUCCCAUGGACAGAGGAGCCUGGUAGGCUACAGUGUAUGGGGUCGCUAAGAGUCAGACACGACUGAGUGACUUCACUAGUCAUUGAUAUUUUGCUUUCAGAUGCCACCACUUUAACCUUCAUAAAAUGCUUAGAUGGUUGGUCCAUUUUCCCUUCACUAAGAAAUGGGUUUUUUUUUUUAGGAUUUGAAAUAGCUCAACUGGAAUUCCAUCACCUCCACUAGCUUUGUUCAUAGUGAUGCUUGCUAAGGCCCACUUGACUUCACAUUCCAGGAUGUCUGGCUCUAGGUCAGUGAUCACACCAUCGUGAUUAUCUGGGUCAUGAAGAUCUUUUUUGUACAGUUCUUCUGUGUAUUCUUGCCAUCUCUUCUUAAUAUCUUCUGCUUCUGUUAGGUCCAUACCAUUUCUGUCCUUUAUUGUGCCCAUCUUUGCAUGAAAUGUUCCCUUGGUAUCUCUGAUUUUCUUGAAGAGAUCUCUAGUCUUUCCCAUUCUGUUGUUUUCCUCUAUUUCUUUGCAUUGAUCGCUUAAGAAGGCUUUCUUAUCUCUUCUUGCUAUUCUUUGGAACUCUGCAUUCAGAUGCUUAUAUCUUUCCCUUGCUCCUUUGCUUUUUGCUUCUCUCCUUUUC